rnacentral:rRNA from 1 species
UACGGAGGGGACUAGCGUUGUUCGGAAUUACUGGGCGUAAAGCGCACGUAGGCGGAUUUGUUAGUCAGGGGUGAAAUCCCGAGGCUCAACCUCGGAACUGCCUUUGAUACUGCAAAUCUCGAGUCCGGAAGAGGUGAGUGGAAUUCCUAGUGUAGAGGUGAAAUUCGUAGAUAUUAGGAAGAACACCAGUGGCGAAGGCGGCUCGCUGGUCCGGUACUGACGCUGAGGUGCGAAAGCGUGGGGAGCAAACAGG